UACGGAGGGGGCUAGCGUUGUUCGGAAUUACUUGGCGUAAAGGGCGCGCAGGCGGCCCUUGAAGUCAGGCGUGAAAGCCCCGGGCUCAACCUGGGAGGUGCGCUUGAUACUCGAGGGCUUGAGUGCGGGAGAGGAGAGUGGAAUUCCCAGUGUAGAGGUGAAAUUCGUAGAUAUUGGGAAGAACACCGGUGGCGAAGGCGGCUCUCUGGACCGUAACUGACGCUGAGGCGCGAAAGCGUGGGGAGCAAACAGG
rnacentral:rRNA from 1 species